rnacentral:lncRNA from 1 species
AUUAGGUGAUCAUUAUGGUCCUUUUCAACCCAGGCCAUUCUAUAAUUCUAUGAUACUAUUUUAUGCAAAAAACAUAUUGCUCUGUAGUUGUUAUCCAGGUUGUGGGCACGAUGUAAAAUUAUCCUGGAGGCAUUCUAAGCUAAUAGUGUUUUUUUUUUUUUUUUUUUCAAGAUUCACAGUGCAAAAAUAAGUAAUCAUACCAUAGGAAGAGCUUAAUUAUAGAAUUCCUUCAUGACAUUACACUCUCCUGAAAUCCAAGGCAUAACUUAUACCACACCUAACAUUACUAAGCAUAGAGGCAAAUUACUUCAUAAAAGCAAACCUUUUGUUACUGGAUUUUCCAUCUUUCAUAUUGGUGUUCUCUUUGCCAUGUGUGGUCUGUGGAAUAAUAUUGAGGAUUUAUAUUUGAAAACGAUUCAGUUGGCUUUGUUCGAGAAACCUCCACUCUCAUCUGUUAUAACCAAAUUUCUGAAAUAAAUUACAGCCCUCUGGAGCUACAAGUGGAGAAAACAGCAGCCUUCUGAUGUCAUUUUGAUACUUAAGUGGCCUAUUGCUGUUGUAUUACUUGCACCACUGAUUAUUUGUGUUUCUUUAUUUACAACUAUAAAAUUGUUAGCUUUGCAAAGAAGAAUCUGCCUUAGGUGAAAAAUCAUGAUCCUUAGUCGUGGUUGGUCCCAGAGGGAGUGAGAAUUUCUCAGAGGAAAGAGUCACAUUUGUUUAUGCUGUUCUUCAGUGCCCUACAGAUCCAAUCCAGUGUUCAGACAAAUGGAGCUAAAUACAGUGCUUAAAUGUGCAUAUUAAACCCUUGCCAGAAGCUAUAGUUAUUAAAUAAUACCAAGAUAUCCCCCAGUUUUCCACUAAAACAGUUGGAACUGACUGCUAGGCUCAUGCUUUCUGGGCAGAUUAUUUCAAUCCUUUGGGAAAUGGAGAGCCACUCUAAGAAGUUAAUACCUCUGGGGCAGUAUAUUGGAAAGCUUCAUUUGAUCUUCUCUGACAUAUAUGACAGUAUCUCAUUUUCAAGCUGAAAAAGUCCCAUCUAUAGGUUAUGCCACCACCAACAUGCAUAAAUAAGGCUCCAAGUAGGAAAGCGAGAGUGAUGGGAUAUUGGAAUGAGUGGCAAAUGUUAUCUGAAGCUCCUAUUAGAAUACUGCUAUUAAAAGACAUGCUGACUAAGCUGUCUGGCAUAACUGCAGUAUGUUGCUGGCUUAUUCGUGCUAUUUGGCUGAAUGGAUGGUAAUUGUCAGUGCAAGGAUGGAGUCAGUAAUCAGGGAGCAAUAACAUUUCAACCUCUCUGGCAAGAUCUGUAAAAGGGCAGCUCACUGAGAUCAGUCCUCUCCGUCAAUUAACAAUGUCUCAUAAGUCUGAAGGGCUCUGAUUUUGAUGCAGCCCAGUGUAUGGAAAACAAUCUGUUUUCUCCAAGGACUCUUAAGGAAGUUGUUAUAUAAACUUACUGACAGGAAAAAAAGGAUGGGGAUACAGAAAGAAAGAAGCUCCUUCCAGAAUCCACAUCAGUCUCUUAAGAGGCUUUACUGAAAAUUGAUGCAGAUCUCUUCUGUGUGCUAGAGCUAUGCUGUAGAAUGGCUGCUGCACAACAGGAUAGGUAAAUCGAGGUACAGAUGCAGAUGGAGGUGAUUUCCUGCAAAUCUUUGGCAGCCUUGGAAAUCUGGUCCUUCUGAAGAAGGCUAUUUCCACAUAUGUUUUUUAUCAGUGAGAAAGAAUUGCUGGACUAUAUUGUUGACUCUAAUUAGACCACUGUGCCUGAGAAAGCCUUUAAAAGCAGCACCUUCUUUUCCCUGUUCCUUCAACAUUCCAAGUCUUUGUGAUACUGUUGGCUCUGGACAAUGAGAAAUAGCAUUUCAAAAUCCUUCAUUGUGCAAGGUUUUCUGUUUUGCUCUUUUUUUUUUUUUUUUUUCCUGACUACAAGUAAAGGCUAUGGUAUUCUGUCAUCUUGGCAGUAUAAUAGCUGAUUCAAACUGAAAUGAGAGAAUUGGGACCACUAGGGCAGAAGUCAACAAACGUUUGCAAUCAGUGAUGCAGAUUUCUUAUCAGUAUGGGGACAAAACCUGUUUUUCACCAAAACAACUGCAAUUCCGAGCCAGAUGUUCCUUCUGGGAGCUAGUGUUCUUUGCAAAUUCUUGAUCCACAACAAUGUCCCUCUCUCUAGCAAGGAAAACAUUUCAACACUAUUUUCUUGCCUUUCCUUGAACACCAUCAGAAGAUGUGGGAAAAUCUGUGUACUGUUCUAAUGAUGUUGAGGUCUCUCUGACUUCAGGACUUUGGGAAAAUCAAUUUUCCUCAGUUAUUCCUUCGUGAAAUAGAUGCAAUAAUACAUCUGCUUUCCAUGCCACUUGGGAGAGUUGACUGAUGGCUUUAAUGGGCUUGUAGUAUCUCAGGUGGAAGGUAAGGAAGAAGUGUGUUGCACUGGUACAAAUCCAGGGGGUAGUGCUUAACAAUCUCAUCUUGCAGAGUGAAAUACAAAUCUACAAAUAUAACUUAGACCUUAUAUGAACAGUACACUGACAGCUGUUUUAAACUGUGAAGUUCUGUCCUCAUUAGGAAGAAGCAGAAUUUACAACUGUUCAUUACAAAGUUAUCUCUGGAGAAGAAAUUUUAAGUACUAAACAUCACUGUCUUUCCCUUCCUUGUCGGGAAGGUAAGACUUGACAGAGCAACUGAUAAUGACUGGUAAAACUCCACUACAACCAACAAUACAAGGGAAAAAUUUGUGUGACUUAGCUCUCAACAUUCAAGGCUUGUUUGUCAGGAAAACUUACAGGAUAAGAAACAACAAUCAAAACACCAGAAAAUUGCAUGUCUGUAAUGGAUUACAUUUUUUUUAUAGUAACAUUGUUGACAUAAUGAUGAAUCAAUGAAGGAAACAUUAAAUAUUUUAAGAAAUAAAUAAUGUAGUAAUAUAGCAUGUAGUUUUAAAGUGUAUUGACCUGGAUAUUUCAGACCUAAGCAAUCAUUUCUUGGCUCCUGUGAGAUCAUUGCUUUACUCAGAAAUUAGAGUCAUUUCGUGAGUGUGUGGAAAUAAGAAUCCUCCAUCUUAAUCAGAAAGGGAUAGAUCAAAUAUCCAGAGCAUACUUUUGUAUUUGCUGUUGGCUGAUUUGACUUAGAUUGGUAUGGUACUGUCCCGGGGCAAUAUUUUACAAUAGCCUAUUUUGCUGCCACAUGUAUUGUACUUCUCUUUACCCUUUUUUUCUAAUGAUAAUAUAGGGUUAAUCGUGCUUAAAAUCUAUUACAUUUAUUGUGUUUGUAUCAGAAAAAUUGAAUGAGGUGAGUGAAACUUUCAGAUGAAUAACGUUUAAUGUAGGCUUUAUGCAAGCCAGAGGUCUCAAUAAAAUUUUAAACCCUUUUAGUCAGCUAUUCUUCUAAUUACUUUUUAUUUCUCCUCUGCUGGAAGAGGUUUCAGGCUGUGUACAAUGAACACUUGGGUCUUUAUUUUACAUUAAUGUGUUCAAUAAAAAAAAAUGAUACAGCUGAGUAAUGUGGAUCACAAACUAAUUUAUAUAAGCAUUGAUUGUUUCAGAGAGCUGGGGAACUUCUUUGUAUUGCUCGAUAUGACUGCAUUUCAGUAAAUGUGAAAUACAGUCAAUCUCUGUGACAGGUUUUCUGCACUUUUAGAGACCCUAAUAUGAAAGACAUUGAUUGACAAUUGGUUCUGCCACUUUCUUCCUUCCAAGUCUAAUGAAAUGAUAACCUCAAAAUGAGGUACAUGACUUCUGUCUUUCCUGUUCCAUUCACCAAGUGGCCAAUGCAGAAUACUCUGAAAUCCAGUGAGGAGCUUUCAUUGGCAACAGUGUGCAGCAAGAGCACAAGGGGUAACGGGAAAAGUGGAACACAAGAAGUUUCAUUCAAAUGUGAGAAAGAACUUCUUUACUUUAAGGGUGAGAGAGCACUGGAAUAAGCUGCCCAGAGAGCUUGUGGAGUCUCCUUCAAUGACAGUAUUCAAGACCUGCCUGGAUGUUUUUCUGUGCAACCCAGUCUACAGAGCCUCCUCUAGCAGGGGGCUUAGACUUGAUGAUCCCCAGAGGUCCCUCCAACUUCUACAACGUGACUCUGUGAUCACUACUGUGUUAAUACCUUGGAGAUGAAAAGAUCUAUACAAAAUGUGCCUAAAUUCACUCAGACACAGACAAAUCAGAAAAGUAUUCUCCAUAUUAAGCACAAGAUUGAGUAUUUGCACUUUGAUGGCUGUUAUGAACCUAGAGGUCACACUGAACUGUCAUGCCUCUAUAUUACCCUAAAGCAAUCCAUGUAUGUUAAGGCCAAAAGAUAGGAUUUCAGUUUUCUCAAUAAUGUCAGCAUGGCCAGGAUUUCUUGAUAAUUACGAGUCAGUAGAAUCUGGUGGUACUUAAGUCAAUACUUGGUCAUCAAUCCUCUAAGAUAUGCAUGCAUUUGGGAUUCCAGGUUUAUUUAAAGAUGAUCAUUGGAAAGCUUAUUCCUAGGACCUCGAACUUGGAAAUUAAUCAGAAUAUUCAGCACCCACAUUUUAAGUAUGAGGUAUUACUAUGAUGACAGAACAACUUCUGGAGGUCCAGAAUCAUAGGCGGGAUCAUUUCCCUAAUUACAAUAAUUAAAUAUCAUCAAUAUCUCCAUUAAGUUAAAGGCCAGUCAAACCUUCAGUUAAAGAAAAUUCCUGCUGCAUGGAAAUGAAUGACAGCCAAAAACAUUAUCAUCCAGAAGAAGAAAUUCUACAAGGUGAGAGAACUUGCAGGUGCUAGUUACCCUAGCUUUUCUUGGCUAGGAGGUGGCCCAGUCUUUUGUUACUGAAUGCCAUGAUAACCAGUUCACUUAUAUUUACUCAAGUACACAUGAUGUUGCUUACACAUCCAAAAUGUGACACUCCUAGCAUGCUUCCCAUUGUUUGUGAUGUCUAAUGGUCACAAUACAAGUAUAGAACGAAAGGCUCAAAUGAGAAUCUCAGUUAUACAGGCAGCAGUAAGCUGUUCACAAACAAGUAUGCCUUGAAGAGAACAAAUGUAUUUCAUGUUAUAUCUUUAUACCAACAGAUACCCCAAUUUAAGAGGUUGUCCUGAACCAACAUGCCUCUGUGAAAGAUGGACAGAGUUCUCACCAAGCUGAGUAUCCACACCUAUAUGUAGAACCACAGAGGCAGCAAUAAUCAAAUGUAACAAAUAGCCACGGGCUGGGUAGCAGGCAGAUGAGGUGGAAACACCUUGGAAUUGUGGAUUUUACUUUGAAAUAUGCUGCAGCGAGUACAUUUCUGAUUAGUUCCUGUGGAAUACAUAAAAGUUGACUGGCAUGAGGACACCUGUCAAAAUUAGACAGCUGCUUUUUGGAAGUGAGGUGCUUAUCUUACAUAAGUGUACACAGAUCCUACACAAUUUUAGUGAGUAGAUUUCAUUUUGUGUUUCUCAUUUAAAUGGCAUAAAAUGCAAGACUCUUAGAGUGUAAGGAUGAAUAGAAAAUGAAAAAUUUUAUAAAGCUUUCCGGGAAUAUAAAUUUCCCUAAAUGAAGCUUAAUAUUUGAUUCAGAUAUGAAGACAUUUGGAGUAGUAAUCUGGAUUGUAGCAACGUAUUUAACAAUCUUAUAGUUGGAGAGAUGUCUUAGGAAAGUGUUGAAACAGAACUAAGUUAGAGAAUGAUUCCAGGAAAAGGAUAUCUGGGAUGAACAAAUCCAGACUUGCACAAACCUGUCAGAAAUAUGUUUUAUUGUCCAAUACAUUAUCCUCAUAUAAUUAAUAUGAAAUGAAAAUACCUUAUGGCAUGUAAUAUGUAUGUAUGCUGCAAAUCUAUUAAAAAAACAAUCCGUAUAUGGUUUAUUUGUGUUUAUGUCAAUUAAAUACUAAAAAUGGAGUUAAAGUGUAGGUGCAAUCCUAUAAAAACAGGGACAAUUUGAAUCAAUACAGCCUUAUAUCUAUUUUACUGACUGUUAGAAGUUCAGUAGUGUAAUACUCACAUUGUGAAAAAUCUAGGCAUAGCAGGCUAGUUUUUGAGUGUGCCCAUGGAAAGGGAUAACUUUGGUAUGGUGAAAUUUCCUUCCUUUGUUCCUUCCUUCCUUCCUUCCUUCCUUCCUGCCUUCCUGCCUUCCUGCCUUCCUGCUUUUCUGCUUUUCUUCCUUCUUCUAUUUCUCCUUUUCUCUUUCUGUCUUUCAUGUAAACAAAGUAUUAAUGCAUAUCGUAACAUGGAUCUGAGACACAGGAUUUUUAAAACUGGCUUGAAACUCCUCUAAAAUGUCUUAAUCACAUAAAAUCUCUUAUUUAUGCUACACAUUACUGGGAUCAAGCCUAUGCUUUCAUAGUGAGCCUUCUUUCCAGAUAGCCAACAAAACAAGGCAAAAGAAGGAUGCUGUGAAAGCAUCAUAAUAGUUAAUUUGUUAUCGCAAAAAGUAUUGCUGUCAUUUUUGGUGUUAUAUUCAUGUAUGGAUCACACUAUAUUUUUAACUCUCCUUUUGGGUGGGAUCUGAAAGAGUCUGUGCAGAGACCUUUUUGUGUAAUGAUCUUUAGUCAUUUUAAAAGCCGCUAUUUUCUUCCUGUGACAGAGGGGAGUGACCUCUUUUUUUGUGAAUCCUGGAAACAGAAUCAAAUAAGCUGAAGACUACAUGAAAGCCUCAACUAAAAGGGAAGCCAGAAAAGAGGGCAAUUAAAUUAUCUGAUAGUUCCACAAGGAGUACAGGCUGUAAUGCAACAAAUUAAAAAGUUUAUAGGUUCCCAGUUUGUGUGUCUGACAGCUGAUUUAAUCAAGAAAUGUGCUACAGAAAAUCUGCUCAUCAGGGACAGCAGAAGAGCAUAAGCCAGGAUAUUCCCUUGGCCUUUACAAUAGGUAAUAGUCUGUAUGGCAAAGUGGGAAGAGUUCUCUAUGUCUCCUUAUAACCAGCAAGUCGGAUGUGAGGUUGAAGGGCAGCCUUCACAGCUGAUCAGUUCUUUGGACAUCCUGUCAGGAUGUGAAGGAUAUUAUCAGUUCCAAAAUCAACAAUGUUAAUGAAUGAUUUUUUUUUUU